UUCUCAAAUAAACGUGCAUCUGAAGACAUCAGUAAUCCCGAAACUAAUGUGACAAAAUCUAGUGCAAAGACAUUGGGCGCAAUGAACAUUUAAGGUGAUUGUGUCAGCACACUAGUAUGAUAAAUCCCGAACGUGACAUGAAAUUAUCCAAAACUAAUGUGACAAAAUCUAGUGCAAAGACAUUGGGCGCAAUGAACAUUUAAGGUGAUUGUGUCAGCACACUAGUAUUAUAUAUCCCGAAUAUGACAUAAAAUUACCCAAAACUAAUGUGACAAAAUCUAGUGCAAAGACAUUGGGCACAAUGAACAUUUAAGGUGAUUGUGUCAGCACACUAGUAUGAUAAAUCCCGAACGUGACAUGAAAUUAUCCAAAACUAAUGUGACAAAAUCUAGUGCAAAAACAUUGGGCGCAAUGAACAUUUAAGGCGAUUGUGUCAGCACACUAGUACCAUAAACCCCGAACAUGACGUAAAAGAAGAUGAUGUGAAGAGACAAGAAGAAGACAAUAAUUGUAAUUUGUAUUCUCACAUUAUAUUAAACAUGUACUUCUUUUCAUACUCCAAGACAUGGCUAUUACAUCGAUAACUCAUGAAUACAUGACUCUCAAAAAGAUUGUUUCUGGAGCUAAAAUGUCAUUAUUUUAUAUGAGGUGACAUUGAGUUUUUAGCAUAUUUGACGUUUCGCAAGCUUUCGUUUUUCGAAUUUUCAAGCUUCAUCUUGAAAAAAUUUAUUACUUUUCUUAAAGUAAUAAAUUUUUUCUUUUCCCAAAACCAGUGUGUUGUUGUAAAGUUGGAUUUUUACAACAUAAUGUUACAUAAUACAUAGUUUCAGUAUUGCAUAAUAUCAUCAAACAGUCUAAUAUUUUAUCAUAAAUGUUUGUAUUUACAAAUAGUAUGGUAUUUUAAGAUUUAAAAGCAUAGACAUUUAGUUAGUCUAUUAAGGGCAUUCAGCUAGUCUAUUAAAGACUGCUCACUUAUCUAUAUAGAUCAUUCUUCAGUAUAUUCAUUUAUGAUACUUUACUGUUGUUUAUAUAUUUCAUAGUCACCAGUACUUUCAGUUUAUCUUUAUUGUUACAAACUGCAUUUAACAUCAUUACAUACUUUCAUUUUGUAUUUUCAUCAGCUAUUUUUAGUAAAACCAGUUAUGAAAGAACUUUGAGCUAUUUUUAGAUUAAAAACAAAGAGCUUACAUAAACAGUGUCAAGGUCAUAGCUGAUAUGUAAGAUAAAUGUUGAAUGGCUUAUCAGAAAAAUGCUGACCAAUCAGAAUGUACUUUACAUCCUUCAUGGAUGACUGCAUUCUGGAAGAGUUUACCUCAGUAGAAUUUGAAAGCCAUUUCUUCACUUUGUAAGGAAUUUUUGGACUGACAACAUCUAAAAAACUCUCUUAGGAUUUAGAAAUCAAUAAUUAAUUAAUUUUGUAUUUAUUUCUGGCUAUUUAUUUAACCUAAGAGUUUUACUAAAUUCAUUUAACUUUUCUCUAAAUUAGUAAGUAAUUUUCUUUAAUUAAGUAACUUAAAUUCUAUUGUUUUAACAGCAAUUGUUUUAGAUUUUCAUCUUUAAAUACUUCAGUAAAUAUUUAUAAUUAAUUUACAUUGCUGUUAAUUUUGAACAGAGUCAUAAAAGUAUAGAGUCACAAAAUACAUUUAGAUACUUUAAUAAUACCAUUUAUUGAGAUUAUUAUUUACUUUCUGACAGAACUUUAAGAACUUCAUCUUUUCAUUCAGUAAGCUGAUUUGUCAUCUUUAUCAGUAUUUUUGGCAUUUUUCUAACUUGUAUAUUUAGAUCAUUUUGUAAAAUGUUAGUUUAGAAAGAUAAGUAAAAAUUUGGUUGGUUUUCAAAUUU
rnacentral:lncRNA from 1 species